CAGGAACUUAUUGCAGGCAGUGGUUAGAGCUGGCCUGCUGAUGUGGGAGGUCCCUAAGCCUCUCCUGAGAUGGAAAAACAUGCUCGGCCCUUUUUGAGUUACAUUAGUUAUAUGUAGCAGACAGGUUUUCACAUAGCAAACAUCUGACUGCUGCCCGUGCUCCUGCAGAAGCAAAGAUGGUGACAGCUGUGCUCCAGUGAAAUGGUAGCAUACUUCUGCAAAAACUAUUUCUAAUUCUGAAAGCUUUUCUCUCCUCAGGAUUGACACAGAAGUUAAACUGAACCUCUGGUUGCAUAGAGUCCCCUGCACUUGACUCAAAGCACUUACUCGGCCCGAGAAACUGCUGUAGGGGGUGGCCUGCUUCAUUUUGCCUGCUACCAGCAUGGAAGGAGAGCAGUUUGUCUGUUAGCAGACUGGGGACCGAGGUUGAGUAAAAAUGUGAAAGCGGGCUGGGAACAAGGCUUGUGUGAAGUGGUUUGUUGUGAGAAGAUCUGGCACAAGGUGAGCUGAGACCAAGCUAAGCCACAGCCCUGCUGAAAGUGGCCUUUGUUACCUGGCAUCAGCAACCCUGAGUGCCCUUUUUUUAUUUCCCUUCUUCCAUGCAGUUACCUCAAACAAACAAGUGAACCGAAGCAGCCGGGCCUUUUGCUCUGGGAGUUCUCACAUUCCCUGUAAGCAGGGAGGGGCAGCUUGUGUCUGGGCAUCCAGGCAGGUUCUGGUGGGUCACGCUCCUUACUAAGACCUGGUGAACGCUGUGGGCAUUUUAGUCUUAAAUUCCAGCCCCAGAAAACUCAGUUCUUGUUUGCACUGUUAGCUGUGUCCCUGCAAGAAGCAGCUCGUAUGGAGCAAGGCUACAUGGGCAUGUUGCAGAGCUGUCUGGGCCAGUGGCUAGGACUCUCGGGCUGCUCUGCUGAUGUGAGGAGCCUCCAAAAACAUCUUCAUCAUACAAAAAGCAGCCUCUUGGCAGGGAGCUGCAUGGUGGCAUGGGACGCCCAUCACUGCUCCUGGAGCAUCUGGCCCCAGGAAGGGGCUUUGGGGCUCCUAGCCCAGGAUUUGAGGGCUGAGCCUGGGCUGAGUUGACAGAUUUCAGAAUCUUGGCCAAGAGGAACCAUAUAAUAGCACUAGAAAACCUGGCACAGCAGUUGCUGCUUAGACUGCAUGCCCUGUGCUGCUUGACAUCUCAGGCUGCUUGACAUCUCAGGACACAAGCCUGCUGCUGGGCAGGGCCUGAGCCAUUCCUACUCCUUGUUCCCCAGUGCUUGUGGAGGAGACACCUCCCCCAUUCUGAAUUGACAGCCCUCCUCCCAGCUCCUUCGGUAUCCAGGAAAGGAAGCCAAUUUCCUUUGCAUAGUAAUCUGAGCUCCAGUAGUCAACAGUGCUAUUUAAAGAGCAAGGCAAUGCUGCUGUACAAGGAGCUUAUGGUUUGGAGAAAGCUCUCCGCCUCCGUGCGUAAAAACUAGGCUAAUAAUGGUUUUCUGCCUCACACGAGCUGCUGGGAAUUAAUUAAUUUUCAAAGCAGUUUGAAACACAGCCACAACAAAGGAUUUUUGUGGACUUACGUUGCCGCCUAGAUUGUGUGUUGUGAGCUGGGAAAGAAAUCUCCACGUCGCUUGAAGCUGCCACUGCCUGUAAGGUUCUGCUGCUAGAAACUGGAAAUGACUUCAUGCUUCAAGUGGGAAAUCACAGGUGAGCAUUUAUGGAUGUGGAGAUGCUAAGACCACCAGCAAAGCACAAUUGCUAUGAGACCGGAGGCUGUCCGCCUGGAUCUCACACGCCUGCCCAGCAAUAUAUUCUUCAAACAUUUUUAUCCAUUCAUGCAACCCCAUAAAUCGUACCUACUGCUGUGAUAACUGAGCACCUGUCAAGAUACUAUAUUGCUAGUCAUGGAAAUGGAAGUCAUCUCAGAUUUAUCAACAAAGAAGCUGACAUUGCUGUCUGGCAAGUUUCUCAGCUUUUGUGCCUCAACCUUGACCCUCAAGGAUCUACUUCUCAAGGCAAGAAAGCAGCCAAUUCUCCUCACGGAUUUAAUCACCAUUUCCUCUGCUAUGGGUUCUGAUUCAUGAGGUGGUAGAGAUCUCCUUAACCAAACAAGAUCACCUGGAAGUAGUCACUGCUACAGGACAUAGAGCACACACAUGCCACAAGCUGAUUUUGGAAUCCCAGGACCCAGUAAUACCCACAGUGAAGUGGAAAUCUGCCCCUUACUUGAGACCACAAGUGGAUCACUGAUGCCAGUGGGCACCUUUCAGACAUCAAGGCUCUGGCUGUAUUUGAACUGCAAGACAUUUUUUAUACCCUCAUUGACCUUUGAGCUCACAAAGGAUGCUCAAAAUCUUACAAAAAAGCCACGCUCCAAAGUGAUCAAGUGAUAUUAGGUUGUGUCUCAAAAACCACUAGAGGUUCCCUCUAUUUCCCAGAAGGUGUCCCAGAGCUGGAGCCAAUUCAGCUGCCAAGAUGCUGCCUAUCUCACCUGCUGAUUGCAAUUAGCCACUGCCAGCUGGGACCUGGUGUGCCAUUGAAGAGCUAACAAGAAGCAGAGACCAGCAUGAUGCCUCGACAGCACAUACACAGUGAAUAAAUAAGAAAUGCUGCACUGUAUUCCUGAAGUUACUUCCUAUGCAACUUCAAUUGCUUCCUAAGCAAUUCCUAUGUCCCAACAUGCAUGUCAGGGGUUCAGCUUGCUUCUCGUGCUCUUACCUCAUGCUGUCACAUACUUGCCAGAAAGGAAACAUGGGCAAUAAAGGUUA